GAGAGAGGCUGAGAUUUUGGGAGGACGGUUGGUUGGAGGGCGGACCUUUGAAGGAGCAAUUCCCUAGAUUAUUCUCUUUAUCAAGGACAAAAAACCAAAGUAUUUCCAAUUUGGUGGUUUCUUCUUUACAGCCGAAGGUGGAGUCUGUUCGGCUGCGUCAUUCCAGAGAAGACAGGAGAAGAUGGAAUUUAGAAGGUUCUGGCCAGUUCACUUGCAAAUCCUAUAACUCUUUCCUUCGUAACAAUGAAGUUGUGCAACAUUUUCCCCCUUUCGUUUAGAUAUGGAAAGCAAAAGUGCCUCCAAAAGUCAAAAUCCUUGUGUGGCUAGUGGCGCUUGGGAAGGUUAAUACGUGUGAUCAAGUCCAAAGACGAAUGCCUUUUGUUUGUUUCUCCCCCCAUUGGUGCGCAUUGUGCAAUUCCGGGGAGGAAAGCGUCAACCAUGUUUUCCUCCACUGUCCGUAUAGCAUUCAACUUUGGUGGAAAUUGCUCAACGAAGCUGGAAUGAGAUGGGUCACUCCAAAGGGCUGUUUUGAGCUCCUUAGCACUAAGUUCGAAGGCCUAGGGAAAGGGAGGAAAGCCAAAACUUUGUGGGGAUCUCUGUUGAUGGCCCUCUUCUGGAACAUUUGGUUGGAGCGUAAUAAAAGAGUCUUUGAGGAGUACAAGGGAGUGGGGGUUGAGGAGAUUUGGGAUAGAGUAAAACACUGGGCAGCCCUUUGGGCUUCGGUUUCAGUGGAGUUUAGAGAUUACAAUUUCUCUUCUAUUUUUAGGGAUAUGUUAGCUGCCGUUAUUUGACUUGGUCUAGCUUUUCCUCUGUUCUUUUAGUGUUCUUUAGGGGCCCCUGCUAGUUUUCUUUUAGCUCGGGGUGGUUUUCUUUUGCUUGUGGUUGUUGUUUCUCUUUUGUAAUUCUUUCGUUUUAUAAAAUUCUUUCGUUUCUUUUCAAAAAAA